rnacentral:rRNA from 1 species
GUGGCGAACGGGUGAGUAAUGCGUCGGAACGUACCGAGUAAUGGGGGAUAACGCACCGAAAGGUGUGCUAAUACCGCAUACGCCCUGAGGGGGAAAGUGGGGGAUCGCAAGACCUCACGUUAUUCGAGCGGCCGACGUCUGAUUAGCUUGUUGGUGAGGUAAUGGCUCACCAAGGCGACGAUCAGUAGCGGGUCUGAGAGGAUGAUCCGCCACACUGGGACUGAGACACGGCCCAGACUCCUACGGGAGGCAGCAGUGGGGAAUUUUGGACAAUGGGCGAAAGCCUGAUCCAGCCAUUCCGCGUGAGUGAAGAAGGCCUUCGGGUUGUAAAGCUCUUUCAGCGGGAACGAAACGGUACGCACUAACAUUGUGUGCUAAUGACGGUACCCGCAGAAGAAGCACCGGCUAACUACGUGCCAGCAGCCGCGGUAAUACGUAGGGUGCGAGCGUUAAUCGGAAUUACUGGGCGUAAAGCGUGCGCAGGCGGAUUGUUAAGCAAGACGUGAAAUCCCCGGGCUUAACCUGGGAAUGGCGUUUUGAACUGGCAGACUAGAGUGCGUCAGAGGGGGGUGGAAUUCCACGUGUAGCAGUGAAAUGCGUAGAUAUGUGGAGGAACACCAAUGGCGAAGGCAGCCCCCUGGGAUGACACUGACGCUCAUGUACGAAAGCGUGGGUAGCAAACAGGAUUAGAUACCCUGGUAGUCCACGCCCUAAACGAUGUCAACUGGUUGUUGGGAGAGUGAAAUCUCUUAGUAACGAAGCUAACGCGUGAAGUUGACCGCCUGGGGAGUACGGUCGCAAGAUUAAAACUCAAAGGAUUUGACGGGGACCCGCACAAGCGGUGGAUGAUGUGGAUUAAUUCGAUGCAACGCGAAAAACCUUACCUACCCUUGACAUGUCCAGAAUCCUGCAGAGAUGCGGGAGUGCCUCGAAAGGGAAUAGAACACAGGUGCUGCAAUGGCUGUCGUCAGCUCGU